GAGCUGGAGGAAGCCGUUUACGAACCUGAGAGCUGGCGCCCAGGGCGAGGCGCCCUUGUGCCGGCGAGAGGAGAGGAGAGGUGGGACGCAGGCAGCGCGCCUUGUCCGCCAGAGACAACCUGCUCUGAGCGCGCAGGGCACCGAGCACCGGGUGCCUCCAGCAUGGAGUGGGAGCUCAACUUUCUGCUCUACCUUGCGCUCUUCUUCUUCCUGCUCUUUUUACUUUUCCUCCUACUCUUUGUGGUCAUCAAGCAGCUGAAGAACUCCGUGGCCAGCACUGCCGGGGCUCUCCAGCCCGGGCGCCUGUCGCUGCACCGGGAGCCUUGGGGCUUCUCUCGCGAGCAAGCCGUGUGACCAGCAGCGCACGGAUACUGGCGGAAGGGCAUGGAGCCGGGCUGGCUCCGGGCUUGGUCUUGGCUUGGAUCUUCUGGCCACACGUCUGUCCAGGUUCUAGGACCAGGCUCGGCUGCAGCACUGGCAGAUGCCUUUUUCCUCGGUUUCCACCCUUUGGUGUUCCAGAGCCUAGCAACUGCCCGGGGCUGGUGCCUAGAGGAUCACAGAUGCAGUUGCAAUGGGGUAACCAGGAACCCUGCAUGGAGGCUGAAACAACCAGAAAUGGAAGUUUUCUGCGAUGCCGUGCCACUGGUGUCCAGAAGUUUAAACCACCCCAACUCUUUUAGACUGGAGACUGCAGAGAACCCAGGAUGAAAGUCUUUCUUAUUGGGAAUCAAGAUGGAUUGCUGUCUUGAAAUUACUGGACUGAACAAUGGCUUAAGGAUGAAGAUGAUGGUGGAUCUUGGGUGAACAAAUGAUAGUCUGUGCCCUGGAUAUAAAAUGCAAUAGUAAAGAAGCAUGAUGUUUGAAACAGAUCAGAACUGUGGCUCUGUUACCACUGGCAACACUCCAAGCAACACUGCUUUGUUCUGAGAGAGUGAAGACAUGCUAGGUCUUCCCAUGAAACACUUGCCAGCACUGACCUUCUCUCUCAACCAAUAUCCUUGACCCCAUCAGGCUUUUCUAGAGGAGGACCCUGGGAACCUACACACUUUCUUGGAGGACAUAAUCUCUUCAUGGAGGUUUGAAAUAGGAUAAGGAAUGUUCUACCUUGCUGCUUCUACAUCUGCUUCAUUUAUCUCUUCUCUAAUUUUCCUAUCAAAUUUUUAGUGGAGUCUAGUUGUGUAUUUGAUCCCCAUAAAAGGAUCAUCCCUUCCAUGCACAGGGGAGGGUAAUCUAUGAAAAGAAAGGCUACUUUUCUCCCUUCUGUGAUUCCACCACCAGUCUAGGAAUAUCCUGGGAGAAUUGCAUCUCAAAGCUUUCCAUAAGCAGCCUACAUCCUGUCUAAGCAAAGGGAGAAGAAACACUUCCCACAUCCAGGGCUGUCCAAAAGAACUUUCUGUGAUGACAGAAAUGUUCUAUAUCUGCAUUAAUAUGGUAGCCACUAGCCACGUGUGGCUAGUGAAUAUUCGAAAUAUGGCUAGUGUGAUUGAGGAAGUAAAUUCUAAUUUUAUUUAAUUUUAAAUAAUUUAAAUAUAAAUAGCCACAUGUGGCUAGUGGCUGUUGUAUUGUAGAGCAUAGUACACACCUUUCUCGUGUUUUAGAACUUGCUGGGAGAGGUUUGAACAAGUCAUAUACGUGGCGUUCCAUGGUCUUCACUGUUCCACCUUGCCAUUGAACUUGUCUCCCAGAGGAAAAAGAAAUAUGGUAUUUUGGAGCUAAAUUGAAGAUGUUAAUUGAACAUCUACACAUUGAAGUAUGUAUUCUUGUGUAAAUGGGAUGAUCUCCUGGGAAUAGGACCUGCAAUUGAUGUUAGUGAUUACUGAUGAUGGGAAACUGGUAGUGCUGGUCCAGUUAACAUCUCUAGUAUGUUCCUGGUUAGAAUGAGUCAGCAAAGAUUAUUUUAUUCUAUUGUGCAGUUCAUUCUGUGUUACUUUAUUUUUGUAUUAUUAUGACUGCUAAGUGAUUAUUCUGUGUCUGUUUUUCAAAAUGCUCCAUGGUUUAUAUUUUUUAAAAGGUUAUGAAAUAAAAAGUAAUUAUAUG
rnacentral:lncRNA from 1 species